rnacentral:rRNA from 1 species
UACAGAGGUCUCAAGCGUUGUUCGGAUUCAUUGGGCGUAAAGGGUGCGUAGGUGGCGCCGUAAGUCGGGUGUGAAAUUUCGGAGCUUAACUCCGAAACUGCAUUCGACACUGCGGUGCUUGAGGACUGGAGAGGAGACUGGAAUUCAUGGUGUAGCAGUGAAAUGCGCAGAUAUCAGGAGGAACACCAGCGGCGAAGGCGGCACUCUGGGCUGGAACUGACGCUGAGGAGCGAAAGCGUGGGUAGCAAACAGG